CCGCUAGCACAGUGGUAGUCAGACUGGUAUUCUGGCGACGCGGGUUCGAUUCCCGCCUGGCGUC
rnacentral:tRNA from 1 species